UGAGGAGGUCAUUAAGCCUGCCUUGGACACUGUCCAUCCUGUCUGCCUGAGCCCUCUGGGGGAGUAUCUUUUCAAAGAUCAGCUGGCUUCUACCCGUUCUCUUCAUUGGUGAGUGCUGAGAAGGGGAGGGGAUCCCUCUUCCCACCUGCCACCCUCAUUCUGUGUCAAGAGGGAAAGAUGGCCAGUCUGUUGGUCCCAGCUUAACAAGCCCCGAGGCUGCGAAUGCUGCUAAAGCAGCUUGCUCCUCGUGGGCCUUCACAGCUAAGCCAUGCCCUCCAGUCCAGCGUUGAUCUCAGUUCUGCAUUGGAAGAGUCACGAAUCUGAAGACCUGAGGAGCAUGUCGUCACUUUUCAAUCGACCACCAGAUUUUGGGUUUCACUGUAAAAUGGCUGCUGUGGUUUGGAUAUAAAUCGUUUCCCCAAAGUGUCUGUGUUAAUGCAGGAGGGGAAAUGGCUAGAUUAUAAGAGUUGAGACAUAGUAAGUCCAUCCUAAUUCAA